UAUAUCUUGUGAUCAUUGUUUUGUACUAAUCUCAUUUUCAUGAUAGCGCGUUGUUGUUUGCUGCUAAGGUACGCAUUUUCUCUCACUUUGUCCAUCUCUUAUACAUGCUUCGAUUCUCGGUGUGUAAUCAUGUUGAUAUUCAUUGAUUUUCCUAUUGAUUGCCACGUCAGCUUCAUUCUAUUAGUAGAGACCCGACUUUAGGGACUUAGAGGGGUGCUACGGUCUUUACCGUACCUUCCUGAUAAGUAAUCUGACCCCCGAACCCGAUCCGGUUUUUCGUAGAUCACCUUUUCC
rnacentral:lncRNA from 1 species